CCAUAUGUCAUAUACUCUACUGGCAUAUUCAAUGGUGACUGAAGUAAACAUGGUCUUCUUCUUAUGCAGUUGACAGGCUCGCAAAAGAUAGAGAAGUUAACAAACAGCACUGGUGUAGCAGGGGAAGUAAAAUAUGAUGGGAGUUUCCACAGGGAACAUCUCACUACUUCUGGAGAAUACAGGAUCAAGAGGCUCUUGGAAGGAAAUUCUAUUUGAUCAUUUUAUUUGAAGAAUAAUGAAUGGAAGAUCAAGUCUUGAAAAUCUAGGAGGACUUAGAAGCAAGGCCAUUCCAGUGGCAAUGGCCACAUCUAGUGCCCAGAUAAAAAGGAACCAGGGAUCCUCAGAGAAAGGACUGAUUCUAAGCCCAGGGCAAGAAAUAUGCAAGAUGAUCCUGAAGCAUCUUGCAGUGGCAGAAGUGACCAGAAAAAGACAUGCUAUGAAUAUAGUAAGUGUUCAAUGAAGGCAAAGUGGAACGGAAUCUGAUGUAGCCUUUGUGAAUGGACAUAGUGCUUUUUGUCUCUGGGGAGGAAAAUACAGAUCAAUAGAACCAAUGACUGAGACCAUGGACAAUUACUGUGCAGAGAAUGUGAGGAAGAAUACACACUGAAGAAGGAGUGAUGCAGAAAGAAGAGAAUAAGGAUAAAGUUACCAGGACCAAAAGUGCUGAGAAUGAGUUGCAUUAAAUAAUGCAGUUGUAAUUGGUGCCUGAUGAAUAAAUGAACAACACUAAUGUAACUUCAUGCAUACUCAUAGAAACAUUCCCCCACAGAAUAGGUUGUCAGAUAACAUUAUGCAAUAUAUAUAUGUAUAUAUAUGUGUAUAUGUAUAUAUAUGUAUGUGUAUAGAUACAUAUAUAUGUAUGUGUAUAUAUGUGUGUGUGUAUAUACAUAUAUGUGUAUAUAUAUGUAUAUAUGUGUAUAUAUGUGUAUGUAUGUGUGUGUAUAUAUAUAUAUUUAGAUGGAGUCUCGCUCUCUCGCUCAGGCUGGAGUGCAGUGGUGCGAUCUUGGCUCACUGCAAGCCCCGCCUCCCAGGUUCACGCCAUUCUCCUGCCUCAGCCUCCUGAGUAGCUGAGACUACAGGCGCUGGCCACCACGCCUAAUUUUUUUUGUAUUUUUAGUAGAGACGGGGUUUCACCAUGUUAGGCAGGAUGGUCUCAAACUCCUGACCUUGUGAUCUGCCCGCCUCAGCUGCCCAAAGUGCUGGGAUUACAGGCGUGAGCCACCACGCCUGGCCAAUAUUAUGCAAUACAUUAAUGUGGAACAUGGCAACGUUAGGGAAAGUCUCCCAAAUUAUAAGCCGAAGUAAAGUCUUCACAUGAAGUAUGACUUGAUUUUAUUUAAUCAUUUGGUUAUUUUCAUUUAACUUGGGUGAUUAAAUAACUCAUAUUUGAAGUACUGGUGUAAGCAAUGCUGAUGUGUUGUAGAAACCCUGCACAGUACCUGCAUCCUUCCAAAAGUAAACAUAAAAUUAAAUAGCUUGUCAUCUAUUAGUGAUCAUCUUUCUGUUGGGUAAUACAUGCUGUAAUGGACAAUCCAGAAGUGUUCUAAUGGAUCUUGAAUUUUAUUUCUUCUUGUUUUUAUUAUCUUCUAUCUGUGACAUUUGAACCAGGAUAAUAGCCUAAAACAUAAUUGCAAUAGACCUUGUAAAUUAGAAAUGUGACACACAUAUUUCCAUUUUUGGAAAAAGAAUGAAAGUGUGUUUGAGUGGCUUUUUGUUUUAUCUUUCAACAAGUUAGAAUCUAGAAAUCUGUAUACCCUCCUGUAUUUGUCAUGUCUGGUAAGUCAUUGGCAUGUUCCAAAUUCAGAGGAAGAACCUACAUUUUCUCAAACCAUUUAAGAAGAGGCAAGGUUAUUAUCUGAAAAAUCCAAGCCAGAUAUGGAACCAGCUUCAGACUGCCCCGAAAGAGGUGACGUGAAGAGCCCCAUUACUUUCAUGGGCUUGACCUGAUCCCUCAUAAAACUUUCCUCUGUGAUUUCUCAGUAUAAUAUGAAUCCUGUAGGCACCCUGAAAGGGAAAUGAAACUCUUCCAGCUUGUAUUUAAACUUGACCCCAAAGCAUAUAUGUUUCCUGUUCUCAUAAACCCAAUGCCACCAUAGUAUUCAUGACUCAAGAUCAGGGCAGUGACAAAGCGUGAUUUGUUACUGGUGAUGACAUCAUUGUCAUCACCGACAGCAUCAUGGACCGUCUUAGCAUCUCCUUUGCAGGGGAGCACACCAGCCACUCCAGGGAACAGGUAGACAUAUGGGCCCUGUUAGUAGUUUGCCAAGGUCCUAUGAGAGGCAGAAUCUAAAAUGAUUUGGUUUUCCCGGAGCUGCUUUUGUGAGGUAGUGCCUUGAACAACCAGAUAACAGGGCUAUUAAAAGUCAGGUCAUACUUGUAGGGCAUCAUGUUUCUCAUUCAGCAGUUCUACCCCUGGACAUGAGAGAGGUCUAUGGGUUGGGUUUUGGAUUUUGAGUUUAUCUAUAAUACCUAAUACCUAACUUCUUUUUUUUCUUUCCUCCCCCACUGGUUCUGUACAAAGUAAGUAUAGAAGAAAAAGGGGUGGGCAGGUCUUGGAGAAUUGCAGCAGCCGAAGGUAGCUCACUGCAUUCUAGGGUCUCACCAUUAGCUUCUGCCCCCACUGCCCCAUUUCCAGAAUACGGGGUUCCAGGUGAGGACAUUGGGUGCUGGGCAGAAGACAUUAGCCCCAAGAGGCAACAUCACUUCAUUUUAAAAGUUAGUCCGUCCACCUUCCCAGCAAGGGUGCUUACCACGGGCUCCCUCAGAGAAGAUUUUGAAGUGAGGUGGUUAGCAAUUUCCCUUUCUUCCUUCGUUCCUGGUGCAUCCCAUCGCCACCCCCACUCCCACUCCAUCUCCUUGUGGCAGCCUGGGCCAAGUUUGUUGCUUGCAGCAGAAAGACUCAAACGUUUUCGUGAUCCAACUGUUUUCAAACAGUCUCGG
rnacentral:lncRNA from 1 species